rnacentral:rRNA from 1 species
AUACGUACUGCGCAAACGUUAUUCGGAAUCACUGGGCUUACAGGGUGCGUAGGCGGUUCGCCAGGUCAGAUGUGAAAUCCCACAGCUCAACUGUGGAACUGCAUUUGAAACCUGCGAACUUGAGUGAACUAGAGGCAUACGGAACUUCAGGUGGAGCGGUGAAAUGUGUUGAGAUCUGAAGGAACACCAGAGGCGAAGGCGGUAUGCUGGAGUUUGUCUGACGCUGAGGCACGAAAGCCAGGGGAGCGAACGGGAUUAGAUACCCUAGUAGUCC